AUACGUAGGGGACGAGCGUUGUCCGGAAUUACUGGGCGUAACGAGCUCGUAGGUGGUUUGUCGCGUCGUCUGUGAAAUUCCGGGGCUUAACUCCGGGCGUGCAGGCGAUACGGGCAUAACUUGAGUAAUGUAGGGGAGACUGGAAUUCCUGGUGUAGCGGUGAAAUGCGCAGAUAUGAGGAGGAACACCGGUGGCGAAGGCGGGUCUCUGGGCAGUAACUGACGCUGAGGAGCGAAAGCAUGGGUAGCGAACAGGAUUAGAUACCCUGGUAGUCCAUGCCGUAAACGGUGGGCGCUAGGGGUAGGGGUCUUCCACGACUUCUGUGCCGUAGCUAACGCAUUAAGCGCCCCGCCUGGGGAGUACGGCCGCAAGGCUAAAACUCAAAUGAAUUGGCGGGG
rnacentral:rRNA from 1 species